AUUUCCACACUCAGUCCGCGCAUUGUUGCCAUUCACAACUGAACUACAGUGUUAUCUAGUACCACCCCCAUACUCUAGUCGCACAGUGACACAGACCCUGUGAAUUAGGGCAUGGCAUUUAGAACCUGCUCUUUCGAAUGGUCUUGACCACGUUUCUCUAACCCACGACCCAACUGAGAUAUCGCUGCCGCACUUUUUGCAUCUUCAGAUUCCAGCAUUGGGAUUCUCGUAUGUGUCAAACAGAGAAAUAAAAUUAUCUGGGAAUAUAUCCCUGGUACAGAAGAUGGGAGAAGGUGCCGGGAACGUUUACGAGGAAGUCAUUGGAACUGUGAGAUUAAACAUCAGGAGAGUUCUGAGCAAGCGGAAAAUAAAGCAACUUCAGGAAGUCUGAAUGGAAGAAUGGCACAGCUGACAGAGCUGCCACUACAGUCCUCCAGGGAUGUGGGUUCAAUCCUGCCAUCGUGCUCUCCCUGUGGAGUCACAACUUCCCUGUGACCAGCUGACUUUCCUCCCACAUAGAGUCAUAUAACAUGUAAACAAGCCAUUGGGCCCAAAUGAGACACCUAUCUAAAGCUAGUCCCAUUUUUCCGGUGUUUGGCCUAUAUCCUUCCAAAUCUUUCCUAUUCAUGUUUCCUUUUAAAUGCCGCUAAUAUAACUGCCUCACCCUCUUCCUUUGGCAGCUCAUUUUAUAUACUAAGCAUCAGUGUAAAAAAGUUGCCUCAUAUGUUUCUAUGAAAUGAAAUUCCUCCCCAUUCACUUUAAACCAUCCAUUUUGUGAUUCCUAAACCCUGGGGAAACGAUGGUGAUUAUUCAUCCUCUCUAUUGCCUUUCAUGGUCAGCAAAACCAAAGAGCUGAUAAUUUACCACAGGACAAAGAAAACAAAGAUCCAUGAGCCAGUCCUCAUUAAAAGAUUGGGGGUGAAAAGGGUCAAUAACUUUAAUAUUGUUGGUGUAAUCAUAUCAGAGGAUCUGUUCUGGGACCAGCAUGUAACUGUAACAUGCCACAACAGCUACUUUCCUCGUUCUGUGUAGAUUCAGCACAUCAUCUAACAUUUGACAACCUUCUAUAGUCAUACAGUGGAGAGUAUUUUCACUGAUUGUAUCAUGGCCUGGUAUAGAAACAUCAAUGCCCAUGAAUGAGUAACCCUUCAAAAAGCAGUGGAUACAGCCCGGUCUAUCACAGGCAAAUUCCUUCCCGCCAUUGAGCAGAUUUGCAAGAGGUGCUCCCUUAGGAAAUCAGCAUCUGUCAUCAAGGGCCCCCAUCAUCCAGCCAUGCUCUCUUCUUGCUGAGAAUGAGUUAGAGGAGCCCUAGCAGGCUCAAGUACAGUAAUUACCCCUCAAGCAUCAACCUCUUAAAGAUUCCACAACCUUUGGACUCACCUUGCGGGGCUCUACAGCUCAUGUUCUCAGUAUUAUUUGUUUACUUAUUAUUAUGUUUGCAGUUUGUCUUCUUUGGCACGUUGCUUUUUCAGUCUUUGUUUACGUGUUGUUUUUCACUGAUUCUACUGUAUUUCUUUGUUCGA